rnacentral:rRNA from 1 species
GACAGAGGGUGCAAACGUUGUUCGGAAUUACUGGGCGUAAAGCGCGUGUAGGCGGCCCUGCAAGUCGGAUGUGAAAUCCCACGGCUCAACCGUGGAAGUGCAUUCGAAACUGCAGGGCUAGAGUCCUGGAGAGGAAGGUGGAAUGCUUGGUGUAGAGGUGAAAUUCGUAGAUAUCGGAAGGAACACCAGUGGCGAAAGCGGCUUCCUGGUCCAGCACCGACGUUCAGGCACGAAAGCGUGGGGAGCAAACAGG